UACAGAGGGGGCAAGCGUUGUUCGGAAUUACUGGGCGUAAAGGGCGCGUAGGCGGCCUGCUAAGUCGAACGUGAAAUCCCUGGGCUCAACCCAGGAACUGCGUUCGAUACUGGUUGGCUUGAAUUCGGGAGAGGGAUGCGGAAUUCCAGGUGUAGCGGUGAAAUGCGUAGAUAUCAGGAGGAACACCGAUGGCGAAGGCAGGUCUCUGGGCCGAUACUGACGCUUAGGAGCGAAAGCGUGGGGAGCGAACAGG
rnacentral:rRNA from 1 species